UUACGGCCACAUCAUGUUGAAACACCGUUUCCCGUACGAACACCGAAGUUAAGCAACGUCGAGCCUAGUCAGUGCCUAGAUGGGAGACCGCUUAGAAAUCCCAGGUAAUGUAAG